rnacentral:lncRNA from 1 species
AAAAACGGCAUUUCCCCUUGAAUCUGUGUCAAUGAAGGCACGCAAGAACAACAACCUCCCCAUAUUCGUGGUGGUCUUCUCAAUAUUCCUCUUUGGGAUCUUCACGUACAACGAGGAUGUGAAGUCCAUCGCCGAAUUUCCAUUCUCAACGCCUAAGGCUCAGGAGCUCCAAGAAGAUGAGUCAAAACAGAGCAACCCUGUUCAAGAAUCAAAACAGAGCAACCCUGGUCAAGAAACAAAAGAGAACACCCCUGUUCAAGAGACCAAACAGAGUGACUCUGUUCAAGAAACCAAAGAGAACGAAAUCCAACAGAGGGUUUCACUGAGUUCAAGAGCUCAAUUGGAAGAAACCCAGUUGGAGAAUAGCUCAGAGGAAACCCAAGAACCGGUUGAUCUGAAAUCCAUCACGGAAAAAGACGAUGAGCAGAAGAUUGAAUUGUUGGGUUCUCAACAACCAGAGGAAGAGGAAGAAGAGGAAGAGAUUGAAUUGCCUCCAGAAGACUGUGAUUUGUUUAAUGGAGACUGGGUUUUCGAUCUUGUCACCCACCCUCUGUACAAAGAAGAUGAAUGGGAGUUUCUCACAGCGCAAGUGACUUGCAUGAGAAAUGGAAGAAAGGACUCUCUGUACCAACAUUGGAGAUGGCAGCCCAGAGAUUGUAAUCUCCCAAAGUAAGCAUAUAUGCCUUUGAUUCUCUGGUUCCAUCUUUUCCUAUUAAUUUUGGUUUAAUAAUGUUGAUUAUUGUGUGCUUAAGGUUCAAUGCAAGGCUGUUGCUGGAGAAAUUGAGAAACAAGAGGCUAAUGUUUGUUGGAGACUCACUGAACAGAAACCAGUGGGAAUCCAUGAUAUGUUUUGCUCAGUCAAUCAUUCCUCCAGGCAGAAAGAACUUGACAAAGAAUGGCUCUCUCUCUGUUUUCAGAAUUGAGGUGCAUAAAAUCAUCUUCUUCUUUACCCUUUUUUUUCUUCCUGUUCCCUGAUAAUUUACACAUGCCCCACCUUAGCUUUGUAGAAAAAGAACAAUUAUUUUUGUUCAGUAAAUUCUUAAUUCGGUUUGCAUGAUCUGGGUUUAUGCGCAUGUGGGAAUCUAAAUGCUCAUCUAUAUGUUUCUCAUAGUACGAGUUAUGUUUUGUGUUUCAGAAUUUGAAAAAAAAUACAGAGGGAAUAGGCCUUGCAACAUCCUCCAAAGCCUCCCCAGAAGAGAAAUGGGAGGGGCAAUACUGUGGCACCUUUUAGUGGAAUAACAUGCUGGUUCUGUACAGUUGUCCAGCCAACACAUCAAACAAAACAAAUGUAUAUAUUUAUCGCAUUGUCAGAUUUAGCUGCGUUAGCAUAAUUAUACACAGGUAGGAACACAAAAUCAGCAUAAUUAUACACAGGUAGGAACACAAAAUCACCUGCGUUAGCAUAAUUAUACACGGGUAGGAACACAAAAUCACCUCUGCGUUAAGCUGUGAUCAGAUGUAGUUGAUGAUAGAUUCUGCUUCGACACUCCCUAACUCAAAAAAAACGAAAAACAAAAAAAAAGAUGGGUUAAAAUUAGAAGGGAAAAAAAAGAAGAAAAAACACAAAGCAUUACGUUGAAUGCCUUACCUAAUCAGUACGUGUAACCCGGCAUAAUAUUCUUGUGAAUUACUAGGAACUCAUAUAGAUCUAUAUGUCUUUCGGGAAACAUUGCAGUAAGCGCUUCUUCUAUUUCUUGUGGUUCCUUAAAAACAAAUGAUAAUAAAAUUGAUAAGUUAAAUAUACUUUGUAUCUAAAUUAAUAUAUUUGAGAAAAUUACAAAGUAAUUAGUUGGAUGUACUUACCAGGUCUUCAUGGGUCUUGCUCAAAUGUUCACCGAGAUGUUUUGUAAUAUUUUUUGAGUAAUUAAGCACCCCCACAACAUUAUCUUCAUAACUAUCUUUAUCACGCUGAUAAAUAGAAUUAAAAACCAUAUGAUGCUUGGAACAUUUAAUGCUGUUUCUGAUGUUAGUAUUCCUUUUCCUUUCACCCAUGUAUUUUCUUUUCUCGUAAGAUUUGUAGUCCUCAAUCCAGUUUUUCACAUGUUCAAGUUUUCUGAAGGCCCUCGUGGAGAAAUUUUCUCUCUCAUAAGAUGGCAUGAGCAGAGGAUGAUGCAAUAAAUUAUCAAAAUCCACCCUACAAAUAUAAAAAUAAAGUUAUUCCAUUAAAACAAAUAACAACAAAAGGAAAAAAGAUUGAGUUCCUUACUUGACUCUACUAGCCAUGUCAUAAAAGUGUGUUAGCUCAAUCGGUCUUCUAUUCUCACUGUCAAGGAUUUUUGCCACCAAGAUGUUGAAUUGUGCCUUACUUGAUCUCUUUGAUUUCCGAUCACGAUGACAUAGAAUUUGAUUUUCGUCCACUCGAUCAUUAAUGAUGUUAAUGUGUUGAACAUCCAAAAAGCAAGCAGGUGUGUUGUCAUGCCACUCAGCAAAUAGAUUAAUAAGAUCCCUUAAAAAAAAAAGAAAAAAGAUUUAGGGCACGUUAAUAUGUGAACCACAAGGAAAAAAAGAAUCAAGUAUUAGGCACAAUACGAUUGUCGUCCUUCCACACAACAUCAUUACAUAAGACUUUCCCUGAAACAAUAGGACUUUCCCUGGAACAAUAGGAAAACAAACUUAUUUACCAAAGGAAUAUAUGAUUUCCCAACAAGAACAGGAGUUAUCCGUGGAUCUUUGAUAUUUUGGCUAGCGUUUUGACCCAAAAAAAUAAGAUAAAUUAUUCUAAAAUACAUGUAUAUGAACCAUAAGGAAAAAAAGAAGUUAAAAUCAUACUCACCUAAUGAUUUGCCGGUACUUAGGCACAACACGAUUUUCUUUCCACACAAGAUCAUUUUUCAGCAUUUGAAUUAACGGUGGCAUCCCUCCUAGUUUUUAAUUUCUUUCCAAAAUGUACUUUUUCACACUUUCCCUGAAACAAUAGGAAAACAAUAAGACUUUCUGUGAAACAACAGGAAAACAAACCUAUUUGCCAAUGGGAAAUAAGGAGGACGCAUGCGCACUGAGCCACUUCAAAUGAUUCUUCAACUCUCUUGCUCCAAAAGCCACAAGCAUAAAGUUCAACAACCUAAAUGACAAGUAGCGGACGUACCUUGGGACAUGAGAGGCCAGGUGCUCGGUGAAAGUCCCCUGAAGAAGAAGGAAAAGACAGAAAAAGAGAGAAAGAGAGAAAGAGAGAAAGAAAGAAAGAGAGAAAGAAAGAAAGAAAGAAAGAAAGAAAGAAAGAAAAGAAAGAAAGGAGGAGAGAGAGACCACGUCAUUUUUGGUUUGGAAAGAAAUGUUGAGAGGGCCUUUUAAAGGAAAAUAAUACUUGGGUCACUGAGGACUUUUAAACCUACAUGUCAGUGUCUAAAUGUGGAAUUCUUUGCAUUAUGUAGUUGUGUAUAAGCUAUAAGAGUUCUGGUAUUCCAAAUCUCACUCACUCUCUCCCCCUCCCCUUUUCUUUGUAGAAAAACAUGCUCCUGGCAGUUAUGAGAAGGCGAGACUAUGGUUCGCACAUGCAGAAACUGUCAUUCCAUUUUCAUGCCUAAGUGGACUUUUUAUUGAGGGAUCUGGUUAGAGAUUUCUUCAGUAAAUUCUUAAUUCGGUUUGCAUGAUCUGGGUUCAUGUGCAGGUGGGAAUCCAAAUGCUCAUGUAUAUGUUCCUCAUAGUACGAGUUAUGUUUUCUGUGUUUCAGAAUUUGAAAAAAUACAGAGGAAACAGACCUCUCCAAAGCCUCCCCGGAAGAGAAAUUGGAGGGGCAAUACUGUGGCACCUUUUGGUGGGAAUAACAUGCUGGUUCUGUACAGUUGUCCAGCCAACACAUCAAACAAACAAGCACUUUGCGCAAGUGCUGCACAAUGAACGUCCCAUUCCAAUGGCUGUAAGGCCCCAUUAUUUACUUAAUUUUAACUUUCUCAAACAUUUUCGGAUUCAAGACCUUGGUUUCACUUUUGAACUUAGAAGAUUUCAUGAGGAACACAAUUGGUAUCGGAUUACAAAUUUCUUUUGAUUUGGGACAAACAAGUCGCUGUUUGGAUCAAAAUGAGAGCCACUCUUUCCGGGACUUCGACUCCACUGUGAUUGAAAUCAGCAUCAUGUACCGAAUCAGAAAAAUAAAUCCCCAAGCUCAUUAAAUUAUGUAAAUAACUAGGAAGCAAGACAGAAGGCUCACCAGAUAGAAAGGGUAAGCAAGCAUAGGGAAUGGCAAGGUGAACCUCAACAUCUGAGUAGCCUUAUCCAAAGUCUUGUAAACUUUCUCAGAUAACUGCAAAAUCAGAUGAUGGAUAUGACUAAUUCAAUGACUGAAUGACUGAAAAGAGAAAACUUAUAUUUUCUACAAGGUGACCAAUUUGCUGUCCUCAUUAAAAAAAAACAGAGACAUAACCAUGAAUAAAAACUCACCGGAUGCCAAGACUCAUCAUUUUCGACAUGUCCAUGGUUCUGAUGAUGAGUUCUGUGACUUAUUCUCCUGUGAUAGUAAUGGCACGUAUUAUUAUGUUAGAUAAUAUGUUUAAAAUUGUAUAUUGUCUCAAAAACAGGAUAGCUUAUUCAGGAGUGAACAGGAUUUUCAGAAAUACUAACCAUCCAUGGUAUGGGACAAGGAUUGAAGAAUGAAGUAAAUGACCCAUCACGCUAUUUAACUUUGGGUUAUUAGAGAAACUUCCAUGACCACUGCACAAACAAAACAACAAACAAUUUACAUCAAUUAGCUUAUCGAAAACUAUUUAACUUUGAUAUUGUCUUUGGCCUUUUGCUCGUUCCCAAAGAAAGCUGAUCUUCAUGAGAAAUGCGAAGUUCCUGAUGGAGGCUUGGAACGUAUCUUAAGUCUUCCGCAAGUCCAAAGCUCAUCUACUAGUUCAAAUGUUAACACUGUCUUGUAAUGUCUCACAACAACUGACAAGUUAAACCUAUCCCAGUCAGUCCAUUCAACUUUUUCUCGGAUUCUGCCACGUGGAAUUUAUGAAAAUCCAUGUAAUAAUAAGUCAUUGAAUAAAAUAUUGGGCUUAUUAAUAUACUGAUGGGUUUAAGCCCAAGCUGAAGGCCCGUAGGGAUGAAGGUUCCAGACUUUGCAACAAAAACUACUUAUCUUUGUUAUAUAUUGUUUGUUUUCCUCUUUCACCGGAAAUAUCGAAACUACAAAGUAAAAUAAGAAAAAUAACUAAUAACCUGUCAUAACAAAUCAUAUUUAAACCCUACCCAAAUGUUAUUGUAUUUUCUCCCCCAUUAAAAUGUACUCAACCUCUAACAAAUUUUGAAGUCAAGUAGACCAAUUUUUCUCCAUACCUAAAAUCGAUUAAUAAUCCAAAUCUUCCCUCGUUCUCCUCUUCAAAUAUAAAUAAAUUGCAUGUUUUGCCUUCAUAUUUUUAAUCUAAUCUAAAUUACGAUAAUGAGAAUUUGACUGUGGUUGUAGAGUUGAGAGUAUAUCUGUUCUAACCAAUUUGACUAAGCCUAUAUCUGAAUAUUUUGCCUCAUAAUAUAUAAAGUAUGUUUAAAUUCCCUCCAAAAGCCAAUAGUAUUUUCUUAAGUCAAUAGAAUAAAACCUUAAAAUUUAUUUUUUCAAUUAUAUGUACGUUGUAUUUAGGCUUCAUCCAAACUAUGUUAGAGGCUAUAAUUAUUUCGGCCCCACAAACGUUCUCACUCUUAAUUUGAUGUUUCCUUUGUCCCCCUCAUAUUUCAGGUGUUAGAAAACCAUCGCCGUCAUACCAUUUUUCAUUUCCAUGCAAGAGCAGAACUCAUUCUAUUUUUUUUUUUUUAAUGACGUAUUUGGUUUUUAUUUUUCAUUUUCAUGGAUUGACAUGAGCUGUAAAAUGUCUGCGUUGAAGUGGUUUUGCUGAAGCAGUUGGCUUGACUUGGAAAAUAAGCAAACUCUCCACCCAUCAAACUAACACGCAGAUGAAGUACACAGCACAAACCAGAGAAUGUUGGUAUACUCACUACAAGAAAACAUAAAUAAAAAAAAGGGUUCCUUAGCCUUUACUUUUCUCAAACAUAAAGUUAUUCAUAAUUAUUAGGAUUUGUUGCUGUAAAACAAAUCAUUAUGAUCAAGAGCCUUGAAUGAUGCAUCAACUAUACGCUUGACCAGUUGAAGCUUCUUUGUUGUUGGGGACAAAGAAAGCUCACAUGCAUGCUAUGCCUAGACCAUUCAAGACUGAAUUUUAGAACCCUAUUUUCAUAUCAUAAGAAAUAACUUCAAUUUACCAACAUGGUCUAGUUAGUGGAAAAGACCUUGAUUUGCAUACCAGUUGUCGAGGGUUCGAAUACCCAUAGUACCUUAGUAGUGUAUGUGUGUGAGAAACUUUAUCCCUUUGUAGUUUAAACUAUCGCUUCUAUUAAAAAAAAGAAAUAACUUUAAUUUACAUGGACAUAAAUAAAAGGGUAUGAUUAGGUGACCUUUUUAAAAAACUAAUGCAUGAUUGAAUAGAUGACUUUGGGCAAACUAAUCAUAAUGAAUUUUAUAGUUUUAGACUUCAGACAAAUUUUUUUUAAUGUCUAUUAAAAAAAACCCUUCUGUGAAUUUAGUUUGUUCAUUAGCAAAUGUUAUAAUUUAUGAGUUAGGUUGAGAGUAAUUAUUAUUUCCUAUACCCUCUACUUCCUUAUCCAUGGCAUAAUAGGUUGAGAGUUAUAUAUUAUUAUUGAGAGAAAGUGGUUAUAUAUUACAAUUAUUACCAAACUAAUAUUGACUAUUUUCCAAAACAAACAAUCCUUAUACAGGAGUUACAUGCAUAAAUGGAUUUAAUAAUAGCCAGCACAGGCUCAAUCCAAAAAGGCAAAGCACAUUAUGGCCAAAGUUCAUCACUCCUAGAAGAAUUUCAAGCACUCUUUCAACACAAAAAUCAUAGUGUUGUGGACAUGAAUUAGUGAAAGGUGAAGGAUGAAAAUGGACAAUGCUCAUAUAUAAAUCUAUGUCCAUGGCCAUCUGAUUGAAACUAUCCAUCCUCCUACAGUGUUGACCAAACUAUUUAUUAUUAGCCUUUUUGACUUCAUAAAAAUUUGAACUUUUUAAGAACUGUAUGUGACUGUUGAAGCUUCCCCAUCAAAAUCCAGAGACAAAAACAGACUGCCUGCCUUUGAGUUGAGUGCUUAAUUCCAUAUCAUCACCACAACCUGCAGAUCAUUCUCAUCUAACUGAGACUGAGACCAACUUGGCAAAGCUUUGAAAUUACUUCUGUCUCUCUCUCUCUCUCUCUGGGCCAAGUUGAAGGAAUUAGUUAGCCAUGGCUUAUAAUAGAAAUAAGCAAGCAAGCAACUGAGAAAGACAAUUCUCCCUCCACCAAAAGCCAAAGUCAUUUCUUCAAGAUAACCCCAUUUCACCAAACACCCAAUUAAACAAACUUAACCUGAUAAUACUAAAUCCGCAAACUCUCUUAAACUCAACUUCAUGUUGUUCAUUUCUUUCUUAUAUUUCCUUCUUUCUCCCUCUGCCACUCCAUCUCUCACCACCUCUUCUUACUCCACUCUCUCUCUCUCUCUCUCUCUCUCUCUCUCUCUCUCUCUCUCUCUCUCUCUCAUGCAGCUACCUCGCAGAAAAACGGCAUUUCCCCUUGAAUCUGUGUCAAUGAAGGCACGCAAGAACAACAACCUCCCCAUAUUCGUGGUGGUCUUCUCAAUAUUCCUCUUUGGGAUCUUCAUGUACAACGAGGAUGUGAAGUCCAUUGCCGAAUUUCCAUUCUCAACGCCUAAGGCUCAGGAGCUCCAAGAAGAUGAGUCAAAACAGAGCAACCCUGUUCA